CAAGGUUUGACGCGUUUUUACGUUUGUUUUACAAAACAUGAGUGGAGUUAACUUUAAUUUUGCAAAUAACUUGAACCGGAGCUUCUUGAGUUGACUAGGCCCCGAUCAAGUGGCCUCCCGUCACGUGUCAAAUGUCAGUCGUUCGAGGUUAGCAAGUGUCGUUUUGAGUUACUUCCGUUCUGUUUUUAGUUUUUGCAAUUUAGGCUUUAGUUUGUGCGAUUUUUAAAAGUUCGCGCAUAAUUUUUCAUCGCGCCGUGUACAGUCUGUCACAAGCAGGGUUGGGAAAUUACGUGUAAUUAAUAUUAAUUACAUUUUAUACAUUACGUGUAGUUUUUGACGUAAUUAAUUGUAGUUAAUCGUAGAUAUAGAAUAACCUCUUUUUAACAAUUCUAACCUCAAAUUUUGCGGUACGUUACGCCGGCUCUUACGUCUUCCAAAAUGCCGGGAAGAAAUUUUCACAGUUUUUGGACGAUUGGAAAGUUUGAUAUAUUAAAACUGAAUGGAAAAGUUGCAGCACGUUGUCUUGUGUGUGAUAAAAUAUUAAAAAAUACUUCGAAACAACGACUGAUGUCGCAUAGAAAUGUCUGCAAGGAAGAAAAUACAUCCAAAGAAGUGGCCGAAGUGGGUGAAGAGGAUGAAAUCAUAUUGGUAGAAAUAGAAAGUAAGGCUGACGAUAACGAUGAAGAAGAGUCAAAUGAAGUUUCAGUGGAAGAUUCACCAAGUUGUAGCAAUGAACAAUUUAAUGAUCGUGUAAGUGCGGCAUCAACAUUAACAUUACCUACAUCAGAUUUAAACUAUGAUGAAAACAUUUGCAAUACUGAGAGUUCAAAUUUGACUUCAA